GAGAGCUGGCCAGCUAAGAGUCAGGAGCGGGAGGUUAGUUCUCUCCUUUGUGUGCCUUUGGCAAGUCUCUGCCCCUCUGCUUCAGUUCCCCACCUGUGAGGUGGGAGAGGGUCAUGCUUGGCCGGACAGGGUUUUUGUGAGGCUGAUGUAGUCUUGGUAAUUGGAGGUCCUCGAGGGUGCGCUCAGGAGCCUCGCAUUCCCGUUGCUCUCAUCGUCAUCCUUAGCAACGAGCUCAUCGUCAUGCCGGCUUAUUAACCGCAUUCCUAGUCAGGAGCCCAGCGAUGGUGUUCGGCAGGCAGACCAUUUGGGAAGUGUUCCCCUUGCAUUUACAGCUAAGGUCGGGGGUGGAGCUGGCUUAAACCAGCUAAGUGCCAGUUUUUAACUGGCAGUGCCUCCACUGGAGGUGCUUCGUAUCCCAUGGCUGUGUGCGGCUCGUUGAGCCACCUGCAGUGAGUAGCCAGCCCUGGCCCUGGUGGCCUUGGCAGUCCUGGGUCCACAUCGUUUUUCGCAAGGCAGAUUUUUCCUAUUCUUUGUUCUGGAGUACAAGCAGCUUCUGCCCUCCAGCCAUAUUCAGUCCAGGCUGGAGAGAUGCACACCUGCUUUUUCUAGGACUCUUAUGUUCAGGGUUCCCAAACGCCCCUCCCACCCCGUCCACCCAGAUAGCAGAGGGAAAGGGGUAUUUUUCCACUCUCCCCUCUCCACUGUUCUCCCUCUCUGAUGCCCUGAAGCCAUUCUUCCUGACUUUUCUGGAAAUGAGCACAAGUCCUUACAGAGUCUAGGAGAACCUGUGGGCCUUUGCCUUAGUCUGCUGCUCGCUGCUAUCUGCAGAGGUCUGCCUAGUCCUUCAGCCCUGCAGCUCCAGGGACCAGAAAACCCUCCUUGAUACCCAGAUGCUCCUUUUCCCUCGCGUCUCCCUCUCUUUCUCUCCCAAUGUGCCAAUCUUUUGCACUUCCACACUAGAAUGCCAGGCAGGCUGGGCCCCCAAAGGCUCCUUUUUCAAAACCUCUGGAAGCCGCGGUUGAACGUGCCAUGACCCUCUCCCUCUCUGGAUGGCACCGUCCUUGAAGCUGGCAUCAUCGGAGUCUCUUGUUCUGUUGGCGUGCUACCUGGAAGAGCCUUCUGUCCCGGACAAGAGGAAUGAAGAGCAAUUUAUGUUUUAAGAACAGGCUGACAUGCAGCAGCUACAACCACAGCUGAGAUCACUUAAUAAAUGGUGCUAAACUAGCUUGUCUCAUGCUCUUGCUCUUUCUGGUGCAUCAAAGAAGUGGCCUUUCAGCCUGACUGUCACCAUGUUACCAAUGGCACAGACUGCUCCGUGGAGGGCCAUCGGGGAUGCAGCCUCAUGUCCAUAAGCCCGUUGUUUAAACGCCACAUGGUAUUUGGUUCCAGCUCUGCUGAAGUCUGACAUAAUGAGGUGACAUCUAGCUCUCAAAAUGAGACCCCAUUUUUUGGUACUUGACUUACAGUUCCUGUCUAGUCAUGGUGAUGACCAGAACAGUGAUUUCUGAUUCAGAAUUCAGCUUGAAAGUCUGUUAGGUUGGAAAGGGAGAUCCUUGGCCUUUGCUUCGCUGACUUUGUUUUUAUUCAGAGAGCGCUCUUGCUUGGAGGUAAAGCCCUGCUUCCGUCUGUGUGUGGCUGUACGUAUAUAGCUUCCUUGCUUUGUGUUAACGCGGUUUCCGCACUGUGCCAAAGCUGCCCAAGCCACAGGCUCUUCGCCAGCCUUCUCCCCUCCGCUCUCCCCUUAGAGCCAGAUCAUCUUCCUCUUUGAGCGUGCCCUGCUUGCAAGGUCUCAGGGUCCUGGCCCUUCCCCCUCCUCCCAGGUCCUAGGGUUGUUGUGCAUUAGGAGACCCGGGGUGGGAAGUGUCUGUCCUGCCUGAGUUCGCCCUCAGGACAUCUGACCAGAGCACGCACAGCCCCUCGAGUGCUCUGUGGCCUGGCUCUACUUGCCUGCGGGCCCCUAGCCCGCGUGCGGAGCUUCAGCAAGCCUCGUGUUGUUGACGUUUUCUUAGGAGCCACCGCCUGAACCCCAAGCGAACUGUUUUCGCAGCCGCUAGGCCAGGUUGCCUGGUCGCAUCUGCGAAGGUCACUCUGGGUGUCACGUGGCGUCUUCCAGAGUGGCUGUGCUGUUCCAUUUUGGCAGCGACACCCUGAGCUUGGACCAUCCUGACUGGCCAUUGGUCUCCACUUGGCCUGGGACCCCACAGAACACCCAUCGGACUAGCACCCUGAGCUCAGCAUCCUGGGGGUAUUUGUGUCGCUGCUGCUUUUUUUAUUAUGUACCUCACCCAAAUGGGUUGGAGUACCCAGAAGGUGGGGGGGUUGUUGGUGUCUGGAAAUGCCUGUUCUCUGUGUUUUCAGCAUUUGCCAAAGAAUCGCCUUCUCUGACCCUUUCCUUCCACUGUGGUGUUACGUGUGUUGACUUUGACUUCAGCCAACACAGCUGGUCCAGGGGCUGAGCUUGAUGGCACCUUCCAGAGUUAGCAGUUGGUCAGAAGGCACCAGACUGACCUGGAGACACUCUGGUCCUUGCCGCAUCUGAGCAGAAGCCGGGACUGUUCUCCUUUGUGCUCCUCCUUGCGGCUCUCCCGCAGGUGUGGCUUUGAGCCGAGGAACAGCAUCUGCUGAGACUUGGAAACUCAAGGGAAGUGAAGAAAGAGCCGACAGUUGUUCUGUCUGGAGAUUAGGGCCCCUGGAAGUGGCGAGGGGAAUUUUUAGCAGUGGCUUUGGUAUCUCAGUCAGUGAACCGCCACCUGCUGGGUUUCAGUCCAGUGUCCUUUUUCACCUGUCUGGGUUUCCAGCCUUCCCCUCGUCGCACCGCUUGUGGCCUUUCCCUGCCACGCUCCUCGGUGAGCUGAGAGGCUAACACUGCGCGUGGGGCCUGAUGAGCUGCUUUGCUGCAGAGACGCCACCUGCUGCCUCGUACCCAGCAGUUCUUGCCAGCAGUCAGCUCCUUAAGGGUGCGCGGGUCCCCUUGCGCAAGGGGAGCUUGUUAAUCCAGGUGUCAGCUCCGGGCGUGGCUCCUCCUCCUGAGCUCGGUUGUAGUUGUGGCCUCAGAGAUGUGGGUCCCGCAGGCACCAAGUGGCUCACUGUGUCCUCUGCUUCGAGGACCAUGUCCUCCCACAGCCAGACUUCCAACCCCGAGUCUUGGGACCCCAGGAUAAAACGUGGGGCUCAGAGCCGUAGAAUGCAGCAGUUGACUUUUGAGAGGAAACUCCUCUUUGGAAUCAUCUGUUGAGCCCCUUAGUUCAUCUGGCCUGGAAUGGGAGAGGGAAGACAGGGCUGCCACGGGCCACGGUGUUGGGAGGACUGCAGAGAGAGCUGAGGGUAGGUGACUUCCCUUCAUUCAUUCAUUCUAGAGGAGAAAGGGGCCCACUCGUGGCGACUUCGCCCUGUUAACUGUCAUUGUAUUUAAACAUUGAACUUCGUAGUCGAGGACCAACCAUCCCUUCUCCGAGGCUGAAUCACAGCCGGGAGGCCCCGGGUCAAACCAGCACAACUGCUGGCCUGGCUUCGAGUUUAUGCUGAUCCCCCCCACCACCCCCACCCCCGGCCGACGUUCAAGGCGGAGCCCGGACUAGCAGGAGGCCAGAGUUCGCCCGGGUGUAUGAGGGCCAGACGAGUGCAAGGCUGGGCGCCAGGCUUUGGGACAGGGUGGGCACGAGUACAGAGUUACAGACAUGAGACCUCUGCUCUCAGAAUGUGCUUUCUGGUAAGUGGGCUGGUAAAAAAGUGGUCUUUAGAGAGCUCGGUGUUACUCUGUCAUUUGAAUCUGUUUAGAAUUCCCUGUAGGCUGUAUUAACCUCAGGGUGAUUUAAAGCAUUUCUUUUUAAAGAAACCCUGUUUACAUGACAGUUUGAAUAUUCAACUUGUUCUUUGCCUUUGAGACAAGUUUCAAUACUUAACCUGCUCGGGAUGCCAGAGGAAAAUAGCCAGAAGGCCCCUAGUCUUGGGCGGUUGAUGUGCCUUUUAGUCAAGCACUGACCUCUGAGAACAGGCGAUUGUACCAGUGACUGUGGAUCCAUGCGAGCUACUCUCUGCCCAGAUUCUUCAUGUUGACGUUUUACGCAUGAAGAGGAUACUGCCGAGGAAACAGGAGGGCAGUUGAACACUAGAGUGGAUUAGAGGAGACCUCUGACGUGCAUAUGUCUGCAGGUUCUUGACACAGAGAACGUCCCUGUUUGGACUAGUGCAGGCUUUGCAGUAGAUGGAAGGGUUAAGGAGGUGAAGCUUCAACACAGCCAUGUAAUUUCUUGUUGACACCUCCAUUGUUCAAGUAGGAUUUAAAUGCCACUGUUAGAACCAGAGGGGGGACCCGCGUCGUGGCCCAGGCAUCCGCUUUUGCUUUCCUCUUACCUUCAUUUGGAGUCAAGAGUGAAGUGGCCUUCUGACACCACUGACGGAUUCUCAAAGUUCUCCACGCUACCGUCUUUCCAGAAAGAGCUGUGAAGCAGGUGUCUUUCUGUGGAAACCGAGUUUGUGGCGAAGAUAGCACCCCUGUGGGGUGCUCUUAUGUUUUCCUUCAGCUCACUUAGCAUGUGUGUAUUGGGGAUGCUCUGAAGAAGCUAUUAACUGCAAAUCAGCCUCUUGUUCUGAGAGAUAGCGCCCUUCACUUAUAAAUGCUGCUGUUCAGAAGAGGGAUAGAUGAACGCCAAUGGUGUGCCUCUUGCCUGGAAGAAUGAAUUUGUUGUGCCAGGUCUCUGAUCUCUUGCUAUUUAAAAAAAGAAAGGAAGAAUGAAAAGCUCUCUGUAGAAGACUUGGUGAAUGAAGUAUAUUUUAGUGGCUAUCAUUUUAAACCUGUAGUGAGUUAAUUUAACAUGUUAAACCCAGUAUGUUGUCACCAUGGGUAUUUUGCCAUUUUAAAGCCAAAAUGGAAUAGUUGGUAAUCAAAAAUUUUAGAUUUAGAAGCACGAAAUUACCCAUUUUACAUACAAGUCCCAGGAAAGUUACCUGACACUUUGUCCCUGGUGGAGCUGAAAGGUGGCUAGAGCAAAAAGGUAGGACAUCAGCUCCUCUGAGAAAACACGAGGUGGGUCCGGGCUUCUGGGUACACAGGGAAUCUAGCAGGCUGCUGUUUUCUUGGCCAGGAGUCACCGCCGGCCUGCUUUUUUGUGGCGCAUCGACUCCAAAAGGCCCCCCCCCCCAGUCACAUUCUUAUCCCUUCCUAACUCCAGUUUCUAAAUUAAUACACAUUAAAGUUGUGAGGAGCAUUGGUCCCUGGAAAUUUCAAACCGCUGUGACCCAUACAACUUAAGUUUUAAGAUAAUAGUCACUUGGGUAUUAUCGGAAAUGGAACCUGAUAUGAAUUUGGAGUCUGAGUUCCGAAGAGUCAGAAGGGAAAGCGGAUAAAGUGGUAUGAUUUCCUCACGGCGUCUUUGGACAUUGUAAUGCUGUCGGGUACCUGCCUUUACCCUCCGGGUGAAGCCUGAAGAGGAGAGAAGGUUUCUACCGCCUGUCCUCACGUCCCCAAGGCAGAAAGCAGAAGGCACUGCUGCCCUUCGCCUCGGUGAAUUGGAGGUGUCUCCCUUGGUGGGUGAGCUCAGCUCUGACCUUGUGGCCUGGUUGAGGGGAUAGAUAGACUUGCAAGUCCUCGAAGGAUGGUGAGGGCCAGACUUUGCCAGAGGAAGUGCCAACUGCCCUUGGAAGGUGCCAGCCACCCGCUAAGCUGAAAGGACAGUCUAGGUGGGAAACGUCACUGCCGUGCAUCCAGGUAUCGGUGGGCUCCACUUGACCUUGAGGGUAUCUGAAGUGGGAUGUGGGGUUAUCUUGUCUGUUCGCUCUGUGUUAAAACGCCUUUGAUCUGAAUGUGCUAUUGUGUUUUUUGUCUCUGGUUUGCCAGGGCCUGGGAGGAGUUUCAUGGCCUGGUGAACAGCAGCGGCCGCUGAUCGGACGCUCCCCCUCUGUCUCUCCCACUCAGGGGACAAUUCAAGCUUUCGAAAUACAAAGAUCGCGUUGUGAAAGUACACCAGCUGGCAGUAACCCUUUUCUGUGUGUGUGUGUCUGUCCAAAGCGGACGGGAGGUCUCCAGCUGCUCCUUCUGUCUGCUCACUGAAGGGACGUCCCUGAGCCGCGUGCUCCCCUUUUGCACUCACUCCUGGAGGACGGGUUCCGCUAGACACCCUCCAGCAUCGCUGACUUUAUAAAGCGGAGAAAACGGAAAACGUGACUUUAUAAUAGACAAACUUUUUUUAAGGGGGUUCCGUGGGGGGCGGGUCAGCCUUUCAUUUUGCUGUGUGCUGUCCAGGUGCCUCUCGGGCAUUCUGCCGUGCUCUCCUCUGCUGUACGAAGGGCAUCGUGACCACGUGUACAAGCCAGAGCCGUGGGCUGAGAGUGACCAGUAUUAUGAAUGUCUGUGCCUCCAGGAAGAGCUUCGUGUUGGAGAGUCCCGGAAUAGCUAUAAAUGCUCUCUUCUAGAUCUGCCGUUCAGUUAUUGGGACAUUUUGUUUAUUUCACCCCCUCUUCCCCCGAGCCCACCACUUUCUGAAAUUGUGUCACCGACGGUGUAUAGGCUCCUGCCUUAUGCCCUCCAGCUCUCCCUCUGGUGGGACACUUUUGAGGCACUGCUGCACUUAGAAUUUUAGUCCAGUGGGCCACACUGGUUUCACGGAGGUGGCUUAGAAGGCAUGAUUAAGCCAGAGUGGAAUCCAGUUUGAUGAGGAGCUAAGUUAUAACAGAGGUUCCAAGUGCAGGGUUUGGAGCUGAGGGUAGUUUCUGAAACCAUUUUCCCAAUGAGCAGGGCCUGUGUGUCCAGCCUGUUGGUGCACGUUCUUGCACGCCCCUCCCUGGGGAAGGGAGGCAAAGCUGGUGGUCGUCAGGUGUUAACACUCAGGACAGGGAGUUCUGUGAUCCUGAAGCUGGGCCAUGUGAGGGACAAGGGACCACGCUGGAUGGCUGGCUGCGCCCGGCUGCGCCUGGCUGCAGUGGUGGGAGAACCUGCUUCCAGCCCUCGUCACAUGGUGUGCGUGUCAGCAGCUGUGUGCUGCUCGGGGAGGCCAGGACAGCAACCUGGCAGGCCCUCAAAGUGACAGGCACACGUCAGAGAAGCUGGGUGACCAGACUCCGGAGGGACUGAUGUCAGAGAGGUCAGCGAGCACCCAGGUUGCAACAGGUACUGGGGACCAGUCCCACUGCAGCCUCCAAGGAGCACUGUCUUACUUGGCUCUUGUGAGCAGAGACCACAGUACCUUAAAUUAAGGCCUCUCCUAAAACCUGUCCUUGCAGACCAGCGGGCCUGAGCCACCUGGUCUCGAGAAAUCGUGUGAGAGGAGCAGGCAUUUCCUUACUGUAUUUAUACUCCUCUCUUCCUACUUUCCAACUACUGAGCACCCCCUGGCUACCCCUGUCUUGGGGUGCUUUUUCCUAAAAGAACAGGGGAGCACAGGAGCCAAAGGGAGGUGCCUCCGUUACAGGUGAAGUUGGAUCGGAUAAGAAGAUCUAGCAGUCAUUUCAGUUCUAGGAAUAUGAAGAAUAAAUUCUACGGCCCAGACAGUUGUGAAGGGCUCAGACAGAUAUAUGAGUGACAUUGGCAAAAAUGGGGAACAAAGGCUGCCUCCUGAGCGUAGACCCCAGGGAGGGCUUCACUUUGGCCUAAACUCAACAUUUGCCACGAAGAUUCCAAAGAGAGCAGCCAUUUGGAUUAGCCCUCCUGGAACGUGUACCGGACAAUUAUUAGUGUGUGUGUGGGUGAGUGGGUGCGUGUGUGUGACGUGUUCCCAAGUGACCGUUACGUCAGGCCGACUGCUUAGGUAUCUUGUCUGUAUUUGUGUUUUUCCUUUUUUUGGGUCUCAUUUGGUGGAAUUUUUUAGUCUCCUGUAUUUUCUAAAGGCGCUUGUGUUUCCCCGCCUUCCUCUUUGUCUUCGCAGUGUUUGAACAUUAUUUUUUCCCAUCAAAAAUAUACCAGCUAGAACAAGGGUUAUUUCUGCUAAGCAGCCUCUUCCCCCCGAGAGCUCUCCAGACACUCGGCCUAACAACUGCCCCUUGGAGACUGAAGAGGCAGUUUCCCCAAACCACCCACUUUCCUCACAGGCUUGCGAGGCCUUUUCAGUUCUUCUUGACUCCGUGGGCCUCCGCAGCGCUGAGACAGGACGUGGUUGCCGUUGUGGUGUCCCCAGUUCUAGAGGCAAAGGGGAGAAGGUGCACCAGGGCCAACCUAGCCAACGUGUUAGGUCGCUGCUGGGAGAUGGGGUGUCACUGUCACUGCAUAGGCGGGCUGUCCCCAGGACCCCUCAGAAAGCGGCCCCCCCUCCUCUCCAGUGCUCUUCUCAUUUAUCCUAAGAUUCGUGUGUGCGUGUGCGUGUGUGUUCCCUGUGACGUUGGCAGUGACGGUAAUUUUCCACCCAGAGAGAAGCUUGUGGUCCACGAUGCUCCAGGAAUGAAUUUCCAAGUAUUGGCCAUUGGAGGAGCAGAGGCUGUGACAAGAUGGUUUAGUGUUGCACUUUCAGAGCAAUUGUCUACUGCAGUAAUAAAUGGAAAGUACCU
rnacentral:lncRNA from 1 species